rnacentral:rRNA from 1 species
GUCCUUUUGUUAUUUAUUUAAGGUCUAACCUGCCCUAUGAAUUAGUUUUAAAUGGCCGCGGUAUUUUGACCGUGCAAAGGUAGCAUAAUCAUUUGUCUUUUAAUUGAAGGCUAGUAUGAAUGGUUGGACGAGAAGUUUGCUUUCUUUAUUAUAAAAUUUGAAUUUAAUUUUUAAGUUAAAAAGCUUAAAUAUUUUUAUAGGACGAGAAGACCCUAUAGAACUUUAUUUAUUUUGUAUAUUAUGGAUUUUAGUUUAUAUUAUAAAUAAUUUAUGCAAUAAAUUUUGUUGGGGUGACAUGGAAAUUUCUUUAACUUUCUAUUAUUUAAUUUCAUUAAUUUAUGUUUUAUUGAUCCAAUAUUUUUGAUUAAAGAUUAAGUUACCUUAGGGAUAACAGCGUAAUUCUUUUGGAGAGUUCUUAUUGAUAAAGGAGUUUGCGA